GUGGGGAAUCUUAGACAAUGGGGGAAACCCUGAUCUAGCCAUGCCGCGUGAUCGAUGAAGGCCUUAGGGUUGUAAAGAUCUUUCAGCUGGGAAGAUAAUGACUGUACCAGCAGAAGAAGCCCCGGCUAACUCCGUGCCAGCAGCCGCGGUAAUACGGAGGGUGCAAGCGUUAUCCGGAUUCACUGGGUUUAAAGGGUGCGUAGGCGGGCAGGUAAGUCAGUGGUGAAAUCCUAGAGCUUAACUCUAGAACUGCCAUUGAUACUAUCUGUCUUGAAUAUUGUGGAGGUAAGCGGAAUAUGUCAUGUAGCGGUGAAAUGCUUAGAUAUGACAUAGAACACCUAUUGCGAAGGCAGCUUACUACGCAUAUAUUGACGCUGAGGCACGAAAGCGUGGGGAUCAAACAGGAUUAGAAACCCGAGUAGUCC
rnacentral:rRNA from 1 species